UUUAUUGGAGAGUUUGAUCCUGGCUCAGGACGAACGCUGGCGGCAUGCCUAAUACAUGCAAGUCGAGCGGAGUUGAUAGGAAGCUUGCUUCCUUGAUGCUUAGCGGCGGACGGGUGAGUAACACGUAGGCAACCUGCCCUCAAGCUUGGGACAACUACCGGAAACGGUAGCUAAUACCGAAUACUUGCUUCCUUCGCCUGAAGGGAGCUGGAAAGACGGAGCAAUCUGUCACUUGAGGAUGGGCCUGCGGCGCAUUAGCUAGUUGGUGAGGUAACGGCUCACCAAGGCGACGAUGCGUAGCCGACCUGAGAGGGUGAUCGGCCA
rnacentral:rRNA from 1 species